rnacentral:tRNA from 1 species
UAUACUAUAGCUUAAAUUUAAAGCAUAUAUCUUACACAUAUAAUAAAAUUAAAUUAAUUUGGUAUAA